UUGUGUCCAGAAUGAUAUGCAAAUACUGUUAAGAAAUAUAUUCAGAAAUACAUUGAAAUUUGUAUAUUUGUGCUAUUCUUAUUCUAUUCAUCCCGAUACAUGUAUGAAUCAAAAGCUCGGUAACACUGUUCAUUUUUGGGACAUUUUACACUAUUCAAGUAAUCAUUCUGGGAAAACAGAGCAAGUGCAUGAUCUGAAAUUUUUGCAUAUAGGUUUUUUGCUGAGAUCUACAUCAAAUAGAAUAUCAUGUAAUCAAUCUUGAAAAAUUAUUUCCAAUCCGGUCAUGUCAAAAGCCUCAAGGGAGUCCCUUUAAGAUGACUGACCAUCAAGGUCAAAUACUGAAUUUAACUUAUUGUCAUAUUGUUAAAUUUAUUUGUUUUGUGUUGCAUAUAUAUUUAUAAGAAGAUUUCCUUGAAAAAUAUUUACCUCAUUUUGACUGGAAAAGUACAUAUAUUAUAACAACCUUAGAAUUCAGUCAUCAGAGGCCAUUAAUGCUAAAGGUAGUAAUAAGAGUAUGAGUCUGAAGUUUACAAUAUUUAUGAUUUCUCUUUGGUUACAGAGAGAAACAGUUUUCCUUUUUGUAUUUUAUUAUAUUGAAAAAUGUAUAAUUUGCUGUCAAGUUGUGUGUAACUAAAUGUGUAACUAGUACAUUUUACAUUAUUUUCUGUUCUUAGUAAUUAAUCUAUAGAAUAAGAGUAUAGGAAAAAGAAUCUCUGGUAAAAAAUAUUGAAAAUCUUAAAAGCACAUAAAUUAUAAUGUGCCAGAGAUAAAUAAUUUUGUAAUUCUUUAGAAAGGUCAAGCAUGUGUUCAAUGAUGUUUUAAUGAUGUAUUUAGAGCAUUUUAAAUGUUUAACAACUGAAAAGAGUAACACUGAACAAACAGUCAUGUUUUGUAAAGGUAGCAAAAUGUGAGCAAAGUAUUAUUUUGACUUCCAUACAAAAUACUAAAUUAAUGUAAUUAUACCAAUUUCUCUACAUGUAUAUGCACAUGGUCAAUGAGUACAUGUAACUAUUUGAGAAGUGCAACAAGAUAUGUAAAAGAAAAGUUUCAAAAAUAAAAAUGUUAUCUUUUCUAAGGCUUAAUGGACCUUUAAAGUUAUUAUUUAAUAUAUAUUUAACACAGAUAACAUAUGUGCAGAAGAAUUUGUAGUUAAAUGAUAUAACUUGCUUGUUUAAUACUGAUACUUGUGCAUGAUCUUUAAUAUAAGAGAUUAAAUUUUGUUUUGCUUUUUUUAGAUGACUUCUGUCAUGUUACUGUUUGAUAACAGUGAAGGUACAGUAGGUUCAGACAAGUUAUAUACAUGUAUACAGGACAAGACAGCUCAAACCGACAGUUUGUUAUAGCAAAAAGUGAUGAAGUUUCAGCCAUGAAGUCUUCAUGAUGAUAAUGAUGAUGAUCCUAGUUAUAGAUUCUUUGAAAUUAUCUGUAAGGAAGGGGUUUCUGCUGCAGAGAAGAAAAAAUUCAUACAGUAAGAAGUUGCCCACUCUGUUCAAAUGAAGCUGUCUGAAGUACCCAGUAGAACAAUGUAUUAUUUCUGAAACAACUUAAUUGAAGUGAAGCUUACUAUGUGAAGGAGUUAUAUCUGUAUUCAAAAGGAAACUUCAGCAUACAGAAUACCAAUUGAGAUAUUUGUAGCUUCAGUUAUGGGAGAACACAAGAUUAAUUGAACUGGAAUCCCUUCAGAUGUUGACAUAGCUAAUUUUGGAUAAUAUAAUGCCACAGAAAACUUGUCGGUCUUGGAGUAUGGCUGUUUAACAUAACACUGCAGAUUGUUCACCAGAACAAUGAAAUUACAGUUUUGCUUGUUAAUGAACUAAUUUACAUAAAUAUAUAAUUUUUGUAAGCAUGAAGAAAUUUGGAACAUAUCAUAUAAUGGAUAUUUGUUUCUUUUGCAUGCAAGAUCCAAAUAUAUUUCAUAGAGUGAACAGCAGAUUAAAUAUUUUCAUGAAUGGCAUUGAAAAACAUAUAUAAUGUAUAAGUAUAUCUUUGCUACAAUGUUGGUAAAUGGAGGCUGCUAUUUUACUGUGACUGAAAGUAGUUCAGAUAUGACGCCUUAUUAUGUCCGAGGUUUAUAGCCCAUCAUACAAGCCAAAGAGAGCAGAUCUUUUUUCUGUGUAGAACCAUUAAUUUUCAAUGUUCAUAUUUGAAAGUGAUUCUGUCAUAUUUCCUGAAUUUGUUUAAUUUCCUUCAUGAUUUGCAAAUAUUAAUUAUCUACUCUUUAUUUAUCACAUUUUUCUGAGAAAUAAAUGUAUUUCCCACAAAAUUUCUGUUUGUUUAUAGGCUUUUUAUCCUCAU